UUUUGCAUCAUGAUUUAGCCAGCAACAUUCAAGCAAAGAGAACUUUAGUUUGACACCCCGAAACUAGGUGAGCUACUCCAAGACAGCCUGACAAUAGGGCAAACCCGUCUCUGUGGCAAAAGAGUGGGAAGAGCUUCGAGUAGGGGUGACAGACCUAUCGAACCUAGUUAUAGCUGGUUGCCUGGGAACUGGAUAAAAGUUCAGCCUCCCGGCUUCUCCCUAAACCGCGAGAGUUAGUCAAAGGGGGGACAGCCCCUUUGAACCAAGAUACAACUUUUCCAGGAGGGUAAAGAUCAUAAUUUUUAAGGCAAGAAUGUUUUGGUGGGCCUAAAAGCAGCCAUCCCUACAGAAAGCGUUAAAGCUCAAACAUAAUAUCCUGAUAACCUAAUCUUAGCCCCCUAAUUCUACCAGGCCGCCCCAUGCAAGCAUGGGGGCGACCAUGCUAAAAUGAGUAAUAAGAGGGACCCCUCUCCCUGCAUGCGUGUAAGUCGGAACGGACCCCCCACCGAAAAUUAACGGCCCAAAUCAAAGAAGGUACUGGAUAAAACCUAGAAAAUCGUCCACCGUUAAUCCCACACUGGUAUGCUUAAAGGGAAAGACUAAAAGAAAGAGAAGGAACUCGGCAAACAAGCCUCGCCUGUUUACCAAAAACAUCGCCUCUUGCAAGAAUAAGAGGUCCCGCCUGCCCAGUGACACUUUAGUUCAACGGCCGCGGUAUUUUGACCGUGCAAAGGUAGCGUAAUCACUUGUCUUUUAAAUGGAGACCUGUAUGAAUGGCACCACGAGGGCUUGACUGUCUCCUCUUUCAGGUCAAUGAAAUUGAUCUCCCCGUGCAGAAGCGGGGAUGAGCCCAUAAGACGAGAAGACCCUAUGGAGCUUUAGACACGAAGGCAGACCAUGUUAAGGACCCUUAGAUAAAAGACUGAACUUAGUGGCCCCCUGUCCCGAUGUCUUCGGUUGGGGCGACCAUGGGGAAACAAACAUCCCCCGUGCGGAAUGGGAGGACUCCCACAACUAAGAGCUACAGCUCUAAUUAGCAGAACUUCUGACCAUAAGUGAUCCGGCAACGCCGAUCAGCGGACCAAGUUACCCUAGGGAUAACAGCGCAAUCCCCUUUUAGAGCCCAUAUCGACAAGGGGGUUUACGACCUCGAUGUUGGAUCAGGACAUCCUAAUGGUGUAG
rnacentral:rRNA from 1 species